CAAAAAGAAUGUGCGAGAAAAAGAUACGUGAACAAACUCGCUGCUGUCGGGAUCGACCCGUAUGAGACGGAGAAUGAAGAUACGUGAGACGACGUGGACAAAUUGCCUCAGAUCUAUGACAUAGUUACCUCCGUCGUGAACACCGUGGAGGAGCUUCACGGCCUGAAAUCCACGGACGGAUGCAGUCAGUGUGUCAGCGGCUUUGUGAAAGACGAACGACCCCUUCAGGUGAAUAAAAAUGACUUUCUGAACCCAACAAGGGCUGCAGCACAAAAUCCUGAGUCGUCCUGAUGCUGUAGAUUAAGAGCUACGAUGUUCAAAAGCAAGGCUUAGCUGCAGACCACUGAGGAGGAUCAGCUCAUUUCCUUUAGCACACGCCGUGGAGGUUGGUGGGCUGGUGACUGGAGAGGACCGAGGACCACCUGACGGCCCGCUGGUGCUUGGGAACGCGCACACAAACUGCUGAUUGUGUCUUUAUCUGUCCUCUGACAGCAGGUAUCACAACGAGAUCAGAGGCCUCUGAGAGAAAACUCCAUCGCUAACGAGGAAACUUUAGGUUCAGAUUAGAGUUUUCUGAAUGCAGGGAUGUAUUACUGAGGCCAGGGCCUCAGGAUUGUUAUGCAAAGCUGGCCAAGCAGAGAGUGUGGGAGGGCUGUCAAGCACACAUGUGUCCAGAUCAUAUUUGUACGAUCUCCCGUCAUGGUGAGAGACACGGGUUCAGACUGUGAGCUCUUAUCUGCUCUGUGACGGAUGGAAAGGCUGGAGCCCGUCCUGGAAAAGGAUCCCCAUCCCUGAGGCUCGUUACCUGGAAUCAAGAGAACUUGGUGGGUUUUUAAAAGUAAACCACGGCGUCAACGUGACAAACAAAAGCAGACAGAAAAUCCGCCACUGCCAUCCUGUGGUGACCUGAGGGUACUGCGCCUGCAGAGCAGCAACAUGGAUAACUCAUUACAGCCACACCAUGCCUUUUCCAUUUGUGAUCAGCCCUGCAGUCAGGCGUUAUUUUCCCGUCCACAUUCUCUAUGAGACAGCUGCAGGACCCUUGUGAGUGUUGCAGCCACAUAUCAUGCUUCCUCAGGCAGCCAACAAACAUGACAUGAACUAUGAGCUGGCUC